ACUCUGAUCGGACUGCCGCCGUAAGGUGGAGGAAGGUGGGGACGACGUCAAGUCAUCAUGGCCUUUAUGUCCAGGGCUACACACGUGCUACAAUGGUGAACACAGCGGGCAGCGACGUCGCGAGGCGGAGCGAAUCUCGUAAAGUUCAUCUCAGUUCAGAUUGGAGUCUGCAACCCGACUCCAUGAAGGUGGAAUCGCUAGUAAUCGCGCAUCAGCCAUGCGCG
rnacentral:rRNA from 1 species